rnacentral:lncRNA from 1 species
CCCCCUUCCCCCACCCUCACUGGGCUAGGCUUCUCUCCAAGACAGUGGCACCUGCUUUCAGAGAGACCAGUGAAGUCCCCACAGGACCCAGAGAUGAGGGACCUGAGGCUCAGAGAGGGGAGUUAACUGGCCCAGUGUCACACAGCAAGUCAAGACUCUGCCACACAUCAUCACAGGAGCAUCGGAGAGAGGAGGGGGCCGUGUUGCAGCUGCCUGACUUCGCAGUGUUGGGGAACCCAUCAGCUGGGAGCAAAGUCCUUCUCUUCUCAUCUGGGAGGACCCGUUCCCAGAAGGGAAAUUACUGAGUAAAAGCAAACAAGCAUUUUUCAAGCUACGCUUUCUGAAGCUGCUUUCCGAACAUAGCACGUCACUCCCGCAGUGUCUCUGUCAACCUGGCCACCUUGGGCUUUGAGAAUGUUCUCCCGCUGAG